AUCAUUCAGCAGAGUUUCCUAAUCACUACGAUGCCGUAGUGUCGUCAGAGGUAAUAGAACACGUGCUAGAUCAGGACCUGUUCGUUAAAAGUUGUGUGGAUGCUCUUAAGCCAGGCGGCAGAAUAGUCAUAACAGCGCCAAGUAAAACAUUACUGGCCAAACUUCACCUAAUAGUACUUCUUGAAGAUAUUGUGAAAAUAAUACCAAAGGGCUUACAUGAAUACGAUAAGUUUAUAACUCCAGAAGCAUUGACACACAUUUUAGAACGCUAUAAUUGCAAAGUAGAACGUGUACGAGGAAGAAUGUACUACCCUUGGUCAAACAAAUGGAAGUGGGUGAACUAUUCAACAGCGUAUUAUGUGUUACAAGCAGUCAAACUUAAAUGAUUAUUAUUUUAGAAUACAAUUAUAUUUUAUCCUGUGAAA